GAUGAACGCUGGCGGCGUGCCUAAUACAUGCAAGUCGAGCGAACAGACGAGGCGCUUGCUCCUCUGACGUUAGCGGCGGACGGGUGAGUAACACGUGGAUAACCUACCUAUAAGACUGGGAUAACUUCGGGAAACCGGAGCUAAUCCCGGAUAAUAUAUUGAACCGCAUGGUUCAAUAGUGAAAGACGGUUUUGCUGUCACUUAUAGAUGGAUCCGCGCCGCAUUAGCUAGUUGGUAAGGUAACGGCUUACCAAGGCGACGAUGCGUAGCCGACCUGAGAGGGUGAUCGGCCACACGGGAACUGAGACACGGUCCAGACUCCUACGGGAGGCAGCAGUAGGGAAUCUUCCGCAGUGGGCGAAAGCCUGACGGAGCAACGCCGCGUGAGUGAUGAAGGUCUUCGGAUCGUAAAACUCUGUUAUUAGGGAAGAACAAAUGUGUAAGUAACUAUGCACGUCUUGACGGUACCUAAUCAGAAAGCCACGGCUAACUACGUG
rnacentral:rRNA from 1 species